UCGCCCAUUUGCUCCCCCCCCCCCCCCCCCCUAACCAAGAGCACAACAAAUAAUUAAUUAUGCAACGUUUGAAGUUUAAUGCAACCAGUUCAAAAUGUGUGCCAAGUGCGGAACGGCUUUGGACGUGAAGAAGGAGGCUUAUUACCUUAUCUAAACCUGUUGUCACAGUCUUGUGGUACAAGACACCACCGACAUGUACUAUUGCCCCAAAAAAUUUACGAACCACGGGAUCUCAGAAAACGCUAAAUAUCCAAGCAGCCUUUAAAAUUAGCCCGUAAAACUGUACAUCACAAUGUUGUUCGCAUAUACCAGUGGAGGCUGGAAAUGGGAACACCAGGCUGCGUUUUGAGGCUGCGGAGAUAUUUAGCUUUUUGUCAGAUCCCUUGAUCCGUAAACUUUUUUGGUCGAUAGUACAUACACACUGUGGCCGUGCUGCCAAACUAGUCCAUUCAGCAAUCAAUGGGACAAAAGUGGAGAGCGUGACCCUCCGUGUUUCAAAGAGAAGCAAACAAUUGGAAGGGCCAAUUUGGCAGCUUUCGGGGACAUGUUCUGUUGUACUUCCUUCAACCACGGCACCGGGCUGAUUGGUGGGCUCUUCAUAAUAUGCGAUUGCCACCUCCACUUUCAAUGACUUGACAAGUUUCCUUGAAUUUCAAGUCCGAAGCUGCGCUGCGCUUGACAGGCAUUUUGAACAGAUCACAUAAAAGUUGCUGUAAUUAUUUGUGGUACUCCUGAGGAAUAGACAAACUCAGCAAGUGUGCUUCUCCACACACCUAGUUUCAACCAGUCUGGCGGAUAUCAGGUGAGAAUCCCAAUUAUUAAGGUGUAAACAUGCGACUAUGUGACACCAUUCCUGCUGCCUUCCCUACCUUGCACCAUUCAAGCUUUAAAAACGCAUGUCUCAGCUUUAACAGUGCUACUAGGUACAAUGUGGCCAUCUUGGUUAGAGAAAGCUAGCUGUGUGGCUAACAGAAUUUUGCAUGUUGUCUCUUCAUAUAGCAAAAAUUAUGACAAUGGGACAUAAAAUUUUUGUGUCAGUACAACUAUAAUGGCAGUCGAGUUGGAUAUACAGUCUAUGCUCGUUACAACGGACCUGCGUACAACAUACUUUCAGAUAUAAUGGACCAUAUUUCAUUCAGCCUUAGUUUGCUCUACCUAUUUUAUGAAUGCAACGAAGUUCGCUUUUAACGGACUGCGCUACAACGAACCAUCGGCUACAGCGAAGGAAAUUAUUGGCUUUU
rnacentral:lncRNA from 1 species